CUUUUGAACUAGUGUGGUGUCCACCAAACCACAGGUUCUCCUACGAUGCUUUAAGCCCGUUGCCACAUCCGACGUACAAAGCUUCAUAGGGUUCGACUAUGAAGCCAAUGACUCUCUUUCCCAGUCACCACGUUUUGAGCAGAAAGAAUAUAUUUACAUGUGUCACAUAUCAGCCGCAUUGGUUGCUCGUCAGUUAGGUUGUUGCCAGGGCAUUCCAUGGAUGGUGAUUUCCCCAAAUGUGAUGAUAGCGGGAAGGGAUGGUAGUUUAGGACAAUCAUCCAUUCAAUACUACUUGGAAAAUGUAGAUGUGUAUCUAUUGGAAAACACCUAUAUUCCUUUCAAGGCCCAUCAUCAAACUGUGAAUGCAUUCGAUGAUUAGUGGGCGGCGAUGUGGAAAGAAAGAGGGAAAUCAGUGGGAUGAAUGUAUAACCUUUCUCUUUUUAGAGGGACAGCUAAGCAAUGCUCAAGUUGAGCAGCGACUUGGUGGGACUCAGAUGAACAUGGAAGAGAUUUUGUCAGUACAGGAAGAAGCGGCCUAAGAAAAAAAGAGAAAGGGAGAGGUUUCUACGGCACAAGAUGCCACAAAACGGCGAAAGGAAACUCAAUUGGUCACCUCUACAAGCAACACUUCUGAUCAUGUUGGAUGGAACACUAAAGGUACUCUUUUAACCAAUUCGACUAUUCUAAUUGCAAACGUCUAGAUAUCUGGGUAACUUCAUUGCAACCCCAAAGUAGGUGCAGAUAGUGGCCACAAUGAUGAUUGUGUUGUUCUAGCUUCUCUAAUUAAAAAUAAAAAGGAAAAGAAGGUAUACGUGGCAUAUGCAUCCCCUCCCCCAUUGCCCUGAUUUUCUUUAACAGUUUUGUUGGUUACUAGAAAAAGACAUUGAAAGGAGCCAAAUCAACCAAUCAUUGUUGGGUUUGGAUGAUGGACAGGCCACAGCAGAGGUAACAUUUUUUAGAGUGGGGAACAUCAUCUAUAUGUUUUGGGCAGGGCUAAAAGUAUAACAAGGCAGACGUUGGGCAUGAUUGUUCGUUUGACACCCUAAGUUUUAGUCAAUGGCACUAUUAAGUUGUUAUAAAUCAUUGUUUUGAUAUUCAGGUAACUAAACCCAAUCAAGAUUCGGUGGUAGAGGAUGUCUUAGAAACUGCCCCUCUUGCUUCAAAGGAGGUGAGAGUUUAAAUUGUACCACUCGCAGUGGCUUGUGAGGAUUCGGAAAGAACAUUGCUGGGAUUGCGAAGGCCUUUGUGGAGUCUCAAUGCUUGUGUUUGUUUUUACUUUGUAAUUUGGGGUCUCGUAAAGGUGUUGCAGGUUAAUGCCAGGGUUUAUCUUCUCAGGUGAAAGCUCUAACCAAUAAAAAAAACGAUGCGAUUGACUUGGAAACACAGAUUGGAAAAAAUGGGUUGAAAAUAGUUCGUGUUGUUGGGGACGGAAAUUGCCUUUUCCAGUUAGUGUUUUGGCAGCAUUCUUAAACACUUGAAAUUAUUUUGACAUUUGAAGGCCGGUUUUAGGGAAAAAAUUCAUUAUAAUGCAGGGUAUUGGCAGACCAACUAUAGGGAGACGAAAACAAACAUAACAAAUAUAGGAAUAUGAUUGUUGCAUGCUUGAAGGAAAAACAAUAAGCUUUUAAGCCAUUCCUUGAAGGUCAAGUAUCAUAUUCCAAAUAUUGCGACUCUAUGGGUAAGUAGGGAACUUGGGGGGGAAACAUGGAAUUGCAAGCGGUGUCUCUGCUGUCACAAUGCAAUAUUUGCAUUCACAGUGUGAACGGAGAGAACUGUUGCCCGAAAUUGAUGCUACUGACAACAACACUUUGAAGUAGCCAACUCCCACUGACAAUAGCAACACAACCCCGGCAAAGAAAGUCGCACGGCUGCAAGUAAGGGAAGAAAGUAAUCCUCACACAGGCAGUAUCUUGCUAAUGUAAAUAGGGAUACAGGCCAUGCAUCUGCCAAGUGGUUUCAUUUUGUAAUUGCUCUUGAACAGCCCCUUUUGUCAUAUCAUGCGUACAAAUAGUUGUUAGUGUGUAGGGCUAAAUCAGCUGUUGGACUUGGUAGUAGGGAUAUGCUACCAAAUGAAACAAAUGUAUGAUCUUCCAUUCUAUACAAUGGACUAGUUGUUACUAUGUUUACGAA